rnacentral:rRNA from 1 species
UUUAUUUGAUAGUACCUUUACCUGGAUAACCGUGGUAAUUCUAGAGCUAAUACAUGCUAAAAACCUCGACUUCGGAAGGGGUGUAUUUAUUAGAUAAAAAACCGAUGCCCUCCGGGGCUCCUUGGUGAUUCAUAAUAACUCAACGAAUCGCAUGGCCUUGCGCCGGCGAUGGUUCAUUCAAAUUUCUGCCCUAUCAACUUUCGAUGGUAGGAUAGUGGCCUACCAUGGUCUUUACGGGUACGUUUCCUUUUUUUCCUUUUGUAAUUCAGCCUCUACGACCUCGUGCUAACGUCAAAAUGUAGGUGACGGGGAAUCAGGGUUCUAUUCCGGAGAGGGAGCCUGAGAAACGGCUACCACAUCCAAGGAAGGCAGCAGGCGCGCAAAUUACCCAAUCCCGACACGGGGAGGUAGUGACAAUAAAUACUGAUACAGGGGUCUUUUGGCUCGUGUAAUUGGAAUGAGUACAAUCUAAAUCCCUUAACGAGGAACAAUUGGAGGGCAAGUCUGGUGCCAGCAGCCGCGGUAAUUCCAGCUCCAAUAGCGUAUAUUAAAGUUGUUGCCGUUAAAAAGCUCGUAGUUGAACCUCGGGCCUGGCUGAUCUGUCCUCCUAAUCGAGCGCACGGAUUCGGUCGGGCCUUUCCUUCUGGGGAGCCCGAUGUCUU